rnacentral:rRNA from 1 species
GAUGAACGCUGGCGGCGUGCUUAACACAUGCAAGUCGAACGGUGAAGGCGGAGCUUGCUCUGCUGGAUCAGUGGCGAACGGGUGAGUAACACGUGAGCAAUCUGCCCCUGACUCUGGGAUAAGCGCUGGAAACGGCGUCUAAUACUGGAUACGAGCUGCGAAGGCAUCUUCAGCAGCUGGAAAGAACUUCGGUCAGGGAUGAGCUCGCGGCCUAUCAGCUUGUUGGUGAGGUAACGGCUCACCAAGGCGUCGACGGGUAGCCGGCCUGAGAGGGUGACCGGCCACACUGGGACUGAGACACGGCCCAGACUCCUACGGGAGGCAGCAGUGGGGAAUAUUGCACAAUGGGCGAAAGCCUGAUGCAGCAACGCCGCGUGAGGGACGACGGCCUUCGGGUUGUAAACCUCUUUUAGCAGGGAAGAAACGAAAGUGACGGUACCUGCAGAAAAAGCGCCGGCUAACUACGUG